rnacentral:rRNA from 1 species
GCUUGUCUCAAAGAUUAAGCCAUGCAUGUCUAAGUGUAAAUAAGUCUAUACUGUGAAACUGCGAAUGGCUCAUUAAAUCAGUUAUCGUUUAUUUGAUGAUCUCUUACUACUUGGAUAACCGUAGUAAUUCUAGAGCUAAUACAUGCACAAAAUCCCGACUUACGAAGGGAUGUAUUUAUUAGAUACAAACCAACAUCGUGGUGAUUCAUAAUAACUUUGCGAAUCGCUUUUUAAGCGAUAAAUCGAUUGAGUUUCUGCCCUAUCAGCUUUGGAUGGUAGGAUAUGGGCCUACCAUGGCGUUAACGGGUAACGGGGAAUUAGGGUUUGAUUCCGGAGAGGGAGCCUUAGAAACGGCUACCACAUCCAAGGAAGGCAGCAGG